CCCUCGUGCAUCACCAGGACAACGGGGCGAGCUCGCGCCCGGGGCCCCCCGCGGCGCCCGGCCCGGCCGCAGCGUUGCCAUGCCAAUCCAUGUUGCUGAUGUGUCUGAACAUAAACUGUUCAAUCGAAACUACCAUUUCCUUGGAUCACAAAUGGGAAAUGUAUUCUCAAGCAGUGAUGAAGCUCUUAUUAACAAAAAGUUACCCAAAGAACUUCUAUUAAGAAUAUUUUCCUUCUUGGAUAUAGUCACUCUGUGUCGCUGUGCACAGAUUUCUAAGGCUUGGAAUGUCUUAGCCCUGGAUGGAAGCAACUGGCAAAGAAUAGACCUUUUUAACUUCCAGACAGAUAUAGAGGGCCGAGUGGUGGAGAAUAUUUCCAAACGGUGCGGAGGUUUCCUGAGACAGCUGAGCUUGAGAGGGUGCCUCGGUGUCGGUGACUCUUCCUUAAAGACCUUCGCUCAGAACUGCAGGAACAUUGAACACCUAAACCUCAAUGGAUGCACAAAAAUCACAGACAGCACGUGUUACAGCCUUAGCAAGUUCUGCUCCAAGCUGAAGCACCUGGACCUGACUUCCUGCGUCUCCAUCACCAACAGCUCUCUGAAAGGUUUGAGCGAGGGAUGCAGGAAUCUGGAGCAUUUGAAUCUUUCUUGGUGCGACCAAGUUACGAAGGAGGGUAUCGAGGCCCUGGUGAAAGGCUGCAGUGGGCUGAAGGCCCUGUUCCUGAGAGGGUGUACCCAGUUAGAAGACGAAGCCCUGAAGCACAUCCAGAAUCACUGCCACGAACUGGUCAUCCUGAACUUGCAGUCCUGCACGCAAAUUUCAGACGAAGGCAUUGUGAAAAUCUGCCGAGGCUGCCACAGACUUCAGGCCCUUUGCGUUUCCGGCUGCAGCAAUCUGACAGACGCCUCCCUCACAGCCCUUGGUCUGAACUGCCCCAGUUUGAAGAUUUUGGAGGCCGCCCGCUGCUCCCAUUUGACCGACGCAGGCUUUACGCUCUUAGCUCGGAAUUGCCAUGAACUUGAAAAGAUGGACUUGGAAGAAUGCAUUCUGAUAACCGACAGCACGUUGAUCCAACUCUCGGUUCACUGUCCUAGGCUGCAGGCACUGAGCCUGUCCCACUGCGAGCUGAUCACGGACGACGGCAUCCUGCACUUGAGCAGCAGCCCCUGUGGGCAGGAGAGGCUGCAGGUGCUGGAGCUGGACAACUGCCUGCUCAUCACGGACGUGACCCUGGAGCACCUGGAGAGCUGCCGCAGCCUGGAGAGGAUCGAGCUCUACGACUGCCAGCAGGUCACGCGGGCCGGCAUCAAGAGGAUCCGGGCCCACCUCCCAGACGUCAAAGUCCACGCUUACUUCGCCCCGGUCACGCCGCCUCCCUCGGUCGGGGGGAGCGGGCAGCGGCUCUGCAGAUGCUGCGUCAUCCUUUGACGGGAGAGGCGGGAGCGCUCCCUCCCACAGACGUUGGGCCGCCGGACGUCGCCCCCUCCCCACCCCCCGACCCCGGAGAGCCGACGGGAGAGCGCUUCGACCUCACGCCCGCUCCGGUCGGCCGUUCCCCUCGGGACGGAGCCCCCGUCCACCGAGGCGGCGUCGAGGUAAAAGAGACCCAUCCCUCGGCCGCCGCCGGCUUCUCGCCGCCUCCCCCGACGGGCCGGGAGGGCCGCGGGGGAGAGGCCUCGGAAAGCUGCCGAACCGCCUCCUUCUCUAAGGUCACACCUCGUACAUCCUCGGCGUCGCUAAACAUCUCUCGCCCUAAGGACCGACCGACGGACGCGAGCACGAGGUGAGCAGGUCGGGGGAGACCGCUUGAGCCAGGGUCACGGCUCCCACGCCCCCCUCUCCCCGCAGGUCCCCCAGGCUUGGAAAUCCUCCUCGUCGAGCGGAGGUCCCCAAGCAGCCGUCUCAAAACCCGGAGAGACCCCGGGGAGGGCUUAGCGGAGACCAGGGGGACGAGGCCCUCGCCGCUCGAUAAAACUCACGACCCCGCUGGCCGAAAAGCGUCCCGUUUCCGGCCGGGAACGUUUCGGGCUGGCGAAAACCACCCCUCUGGAUUCCGGGAACCAGAGGGCCGGUUUUCUACGCCCGCCGCCUCCGAGGAGAGACCCCGGACGCUCCGUUUCGAGUCGGGGUGAAGGGCUCCCGGCUAGAUGUGAGCCGUCGAGUAACGGGGUCCGCUCCCAGCCCAAGGUGGAAAGAAGCGGGACGCCCGAACCUCGGCCUCGUGGUUGCCGGGACCGAUCGUCCCGGGCGCGGAGCGGCGUUGCCCUGGACGCGCAGCCGGGGGUGCGUGUGGCGGCGGGGGAGGCGUGCUCGUCGGCUCAGUUUGCGGGACACUCACCUUAUUCCGAAAAAUGUAUAGGCCUUCCUUCCAUCCGAUCAAAAUGUGGACAUGGUGACGAGGCAGCGUUUUCUCUCAUGGCUUCUUCUUCCUCCGUCCACUUGCGCUUCAGUGAUUUCAAUGGAGAGCCGGGCCCCGCCGCCGAAACGGAGCUGCUGCCGGGGAGAGCGCGUGAGGACGCCGGCGCUGGAGUCGGGGGUCAGUAUUCCCUUAGAUGAGUUUCUGCCGGAGGAGGGAAAGGGAAUUUAAAACCCCAACUCCCGUCUGCCCGAGGGAGGCCGAAAAACCCACCCGGCGUCCUUGGGAGACGCUGCCCAGGGGCAGGAAUUACAAACCAGCGGCACGGGGACGGAGUGAUUGGAAAACAUUUAUUAUACGGAAAUGUGUACACCCGACUAUUUAAAAACCAAACGGCCCGCGGCCGGUGCCGUCGCUUGCUGAUCUCCAGUGACGGGGAGGGUUAAGACUGUACGGUUUUUCGGCGCAAUCUGAACCUUCCCUCCAGAGAUUCUCUUCUCCCCGCUCCCUUUCCGCCAGCCGAAAUGGCCCAGGUCCCUGCCGGUACCCAAAGGGAGGAGCAUCAGAUAAAGCAGAAACAAAUACUUAACAGGAGUCACGGGCUUCCGCUUGGCUUCGAUGAAAAGCGUUUUCCUUUUUCAGUGCGCAAAACAGAGAACAAGCUUCCGGGGUUUAAAAGGCAAUAGAGAUGUCGGAUAGGCAAUGGUUUCUGGUGCGUGCUAAACUCUUAAUCCAAUUCUGACCGCGACAGGCAAAGGCAUUUCUCCUAAGGUACUGGGUGUUUCUCCUCAACUGCUGGAGGCAUUCGACGACUCCUCUACUUUUCUACGCCUGAGAAUCAAUCGGUUGAGUGAGCACUGGUGGCAACAAGUAUCAGGGGACGAGAACAGGGGGACGAAGGAGACCUAGCAAUCCAAAAAAGGGGCUUAUCUUAUUCACCGACGACUCCCUGGACCCUGUUUUUAGACGUGCAUUGCUUUAAGCUUACCGUUUGUGGAUGAAAGGAUCCAAGACCCCGGAAGAGUACUUGCCCACAGACUGUUUUAGUCCUGUCGCCCUCCCCCCCCCCGAU